UGGCGAAGGCAGCCACCUGGGAUAAACACUGACGCUCAUGCACGAAAGCGUGGGGAGCAAAACAGGAUUAGAUACCCUGGUAGUCCACGCCCUAAACGAUGUCUACUAGUUGUCGGGUCUUAAUUGACUUGGUAACGCAGCUAACGCGUGAAGUAGACCGCCUGGGGAGUACGGUCGCAAGAUUAAAACUCAAAGGAAUUGACGGGGACCCGCACAAGCGGUGGAUGAUGUGGAUUAAUUCGAUGCAACGCGAAAAACCUUACCUACCCUUGACAUGUACGGAAGCCUGGAGAGAUUUGGGCGUGCUCGAAAGAGAGCCGUAACACAGGUGCUGCAUGGCUGUCGUCAGCUCGUGUCGUGAGAUGUUGGGUUAAGUCCCGCAACGAGCGCAACCCUUGUCAUUAGUUGCUACGAAAGGGCACUCUAAUGAGACUGCCGGUGACAAACCGGAGGAAGGUGGGGAUGACGUCAAGUCCUCAUGGCCCUUAUGGGUAGGGCUUCACACGUCAUACAAUGGUACAUACAGAGGGCCGCCAACCCGCGAGGGGGAGCUAAUCCCAGAAAGUGUAUCGUAGUCCGGAUUGUAGUCUGCAACUCGACUACAUGAAGUUGGAAUCGCUAGUAAUCGCGGAUCAGCAUGUCGCGGUGAAUACGUUCCCGGGUCUUGUACACACCGCCCGUCACACCAUGGGAGCGGGUUUUACCAGAAGUAGGUAGCUUAACCGCAAGGAGGGCGCUUACCACGGUAGGAUUCGUGACUGGGGUGAAGUCGUAACAAGGUAGCC
rnacentral:rRNA from 1 species